GGCUCUGAAUUCAGGAAUGUGGUGAUCCACUGAGCCACUUCAUCACCACAGUCCCUGCCUUGAAUAUCCAAUCCAAACACCCUGCAGUUCUGCACCGGGUUUUUGCUGGGCAGCUUCACGGGCAGACACAGCUUCUUCAUCCCCUGGGCGCUCAGGGUCAGGUAGCCGUUUUCACAGCCGGUAGUGAUGAGGACGAGACGCGGCUCCUGACGAGCCGUGACCAUGUGUCCGUCCUCCUUGACCACAAGCCAAAACCUGUCCCGCAUCUCCCCGCUCUGCAGCCCCAUCGGCGUCACCCGCGCCCGCUGCACCGCCACCCCCUGGCACGACUUCACGGGGUACACGAAGAGGCUGGACACCGUGCCCACCCGCUGCAGCCGGCCCGGGCGGCGGCGGCGGCGCCCCGCGGCCGUCCCGCGGGCCCAGCGCCAGGCCCCGAGCAGGACGCCCAGCGCCGCUACCGCCGCCGCCCCCCACAGCCAGCCCCGCGGCGCCGCCAACGCCAGCCCCUGCGCCCCCAUCAUGGCGACCGAGCGGAGCGCGGAGCGGACGGCGGCCGCAAGGGAGGCGGGGCGGGGAUGUGCCCUUCCGGUUCGGGGGGCGCAGCCAUGUAGGGGCAGAGUGGGCGCUGUGGGGUCGAGGUCGAGGUGCGGCCGCUUGGGUCAGCGCAGUGGCCGUGUGGGGAUGGCGGGGAGCUGAGCACAGGCGCACGGCAGAGCCCGCGGCUCCAGCAGGGUCCUGGCAGUUCGGCGUGGUGGGAUGCUGCACGAAUCAUAGAGUCGUAAAGGUUGAAAAGGACCGCUAAGAUCAUCACGUGCAAUCGUCAGUCCAUCCCCACCGUGCCCACUGAUCGCGUCUCUCACAUCUCCACAGUUCUUGAUCACCUCCAGGGACGGUGACUCCACAGCCUCCCUGCGCAGCCUGUGCCACUGCCUCACCGCUCUUUCUGAGAAGAAAUAUUUCCUAAUAGCCAACCUGAACCUCCCUGGUACAACUUAAGGCCAUGACUUCUUGUCCUAUUGCUGCUACCUGGAAGCAGAGAAGGACACUGAGGCCCUGGAGCAUGGCCAGUUCUCUGGGCAACAAAGCUGUGAGGGGGCUGAAGCACCAGCCUUAUUGGGAGCGACAGAAGGAACUGGGAUGGUUCAGUCUGGAGAAGAGGAGGCUCAGGGGAGACCUUAUUGCCCUCUAUAACUGCCUAGAGGUUGUGGUCAGAUAGGGGUUGGCCACUUCUCCUGAGUAGCAGCUACAAGAUGAGAGGGAAUGGCCUCAAGCUGUGCCAACAGAGGUUCAGAUUGAGUAUUGGGAAAAAUUUCUUCUCUGAAAGAGUGGUG
rnacentral:lncRNA from 1 species